GCAUCUGGCCCUUUCAAGGGGAAGGGGGCUGCUCUUGUUUGUGUGGCGCGAGACCCUUGACUUUACCUUAAAGGAAAUAAGAGGGUUCCAGGCAGGCUCGCGCCGGGCAUGUAUCAGCAGGGAAUAAUAGAAUUGGACUUCGUUUCUACUCGGUUGGGGCAAGAAGCGAGGUAAUGAUGAAGAGGCAUAGGUGGGGGCAUUCGUAUUUAACUGUAGAUGUGAAAUUCUUGGAUUUGUUCAGACGGACUACCGCGAAACUUCUGCCUAUGUUUUUUUCGUUGAUCAGAACGAAGGUGAGGGGAUCGAAGACGAUCAAUCCCGCUCCAGUCUUACUAUAACCCUUGUUUUGCUACAGAUUGGCGGUCGUUCGAUUUCCGACUCCAUCAACAUCUUGAGAGAAAUCAAAGCCUUUGGGUUCCGGGGGGAGUAUGUAGCAAGGCUGAAACUAAGACAAAAGGACGGACGACACCAUCAGGAAGCCGCCUGUUUUUUCAUUUACUCAUCACCGAGAAGCUACCCAGGGCCGGACUUCGAACGGAUGACCAAUUG
rnacentral:rRNA from 1 species